UACAGGCUUGGGCCUAUAGUUCAGUUCAGGCUUAGCAGCCUGGUCAAAAUCACCUGAAAGUAGCCAAAUGAAAGAAUUGCAUUAGUUAGAUGGAAGAUGAAGGUGUUCUGAAGCAAGGCAAGAGAACUGAAGUGCUGAAUAGAAACAAGAAGAGUUAACACAGUAGGGAAGAUCUAAAGCAGGAACACAAUGGCACAUGUGGUGAUGGUAAAAAAUCUGGAUUGCAGUGAAAGUGAAAAGAACUGAAGCAGAAUUUCUAUACUGAUAAAGAAUUCUGAUGAGAUGCCAAGAAAUAAGUCAGAUUUUGAGAAAAUAUGAUAAGCGCUGUAAGGUAAUGAAACUUAUAAGAUGUGAAACGUUUAUUUUUUUCUUAGUGCAUUCUUUCAAACAUUAUGUAGAAUGAAACCUACUGUGGAUCUUUGUGUCCCUGCAUCUUGGAAUGUGACGCAAGACUUCCCAAAUGCUGUAAGAACAAGAAACAUGAUUCUAAAGAAGCCAUUUGGCACCAUGACUGAGACAUUGACAAGUCACUGAGGAAUGUCCUUCAGUUUUUUGUUUGUUGUUUUUAGUGCUACCAGAUUAUGGUGUCCUGUUACUGGUAAAGUGUUAACUAUUCUGUCAACAUGCUUAUUAUAGACUGUUUUCUCUGGCAAGUGGAAACUAAUUGGAGUCUUUCCAUAAUCAUUGAUGAGUUAACAGGCACUGACAAGGAAGACAAAGGCAAUGGCCUAUUGCUGAAGGUGACAGAGAGUUUCUGCUGUUUUCCCCAUACGUGAACUCACCUGCAGCUUCAUCCAGAAAGAAGCAUCACUGGUGAAGCACAUUGUCCUCAACCCAGAAUUUGAUUUAUCAGAUCCUUUUCAUCAAGCUAUGACAGAGCUGUCCUUGCUGCUGCACAGAUGAGGGCAAUCUCCCCCAUCCUGGCUGAGACAGGACCUACAGAAGGAUAUGCAGUCCUGUGACCAGCACUUACAACUGUACCAGGACAAAGGAGAGAGGCUGGUGAUAAACCACAUUCAAUCUGUGCUAUAGUCACUGGAGAGUUUGACUGAAAAAAGAAGACUGAAAGAAGGACUAUCAUAAUAAUUACAAAAUAUUCAUGGUUACUGAAUGGAUUCCAGAAUGAAUGGCACAACACUGUAAACAAAACUGCACCCUCCCAAAAUCAUCUGGCAGUAAGUAGUAUUAAGAACGUUGUGUUCAAUGUAAAGGAUUAAAAAUUCACUGUAUAGGGAAUAGAACUACUAAGGUUGCUGGCUGAAGAUCUUAAGAUAUAAAAGGUAUUAGAUUACCUACUAUUCUCUGCUUUAAUCUAACACAAAUGUUUUAUUGUGGUCAAACUCAACUCUUGGAUUCAAAGUCAGUAUCAAACAAAUCAGAUGUAUCGAACAAAAGCAAAGAGAAACUCCACCAAAAAAACCUCUUUGAAUAUAUAGUGGGAGUUUCACAGGGCACCUCUGCAUGGAUCUGUGUGAUGCUGUGUCAAGUAGUUCGAGCCCAGAAAGUGACACAACCCUUUCAGAUCCUUAGGGAUCUGUGCCAGAGCCAGUGCUCCUUCUGCAGGAGAGCUAAAAAAAAUGUUCAGAAAUAAAACUGAUAGGACUAACUCACUGAACUAUUAAAAAUGAGAAC